AGAGUUUGAUCCUGGCUCAGGAUGAACGCUGGCGGCGUGCUUAACACAUGCAAGUCGAACGAACCUUCGGGUUAGUGGCGGACGGGUGAGUAACGCGUGAGAAUCUGCCCUCAGGAGGGGGAUAACGGUUGGAAACGACCGCUAAUACCCCAUAUGCCGAGAGGUGAAAUGAAUUUCGCCUGAGGAUGAGCUCGCGUCUGAUUAGUUAGUUGGUGGGGUAAUGGCCUACCAAGACAUCGAUCAGUAGCUGGUCUGAGAGGAUGAUCAGCCACACUGGGACUGAGACACGGCCCAGACUCCUACGGGAGGCAGCAGUGGGGAAUUUUCCGCAAUGGGCGAAAGCCUGACGGAGCAACGCCGCGUGAGGGAUGAAGGCCUCUGGGCUGUAAACCUCUUUUAUCAAGGAAGAAGAUCUGACGGUACUUGAUGAAUAAGCCACGGCUAAUUCCGUGCCAGCAGCCGCGGUAAUACGGGAGUGGCAAGCGUUAUCCGGAAUUAUUGGGCGUAAAGCGUCCGCAGGCGGUCUGUCAAGUCUGCUGUUAAAGCGUGGAGCUUAACUCCAUUUCGGCAGUGGAAACUGACAGACUAGAGUGUGGUAGGGGCAGAGGGAAUUCCCGGUGUAGCGGUGAAAUGCGUAGAUAUCGGGAAGAACACCAGUGGCGAAGGCGCUCUGCUGGGCCAUAACUGACGCUCAUGGACGAAAGCCAGGGGAGCGAAAGGGAUUAGAUACCCCUGUAGUCCUGGCCGUAAACGAUGAACACUAGGUGUCGGGGGAAUCGACCCCCUCGGUGUCGUAGCCAACGCGUUAAGUGUUCCGCCUGGGGAGUACGCACGCAAGUGUGAAACUCAAAGGAAUUGACGGGGGCCCGCACAAGCGGUGGAGUAUGUGGUUUAAUUCGAUGCAACGCGAAGAACCUUACCAGGGUUUGACAUCCUGCGAAUCUCUUGGAAACAAGAGAGUGCCUUCGGGAACGCAGUGACAGGUGGUGCAUGGCUGUCGUCAGCUCGUGUCGUGAGAUGUUGGGUUAAGUCCCGCAACGAGCGCAACCCACGUCGUUAGUUGCCAGCAUUUAGUUGGGCACUCUAGCGAGACCGCCGGUGAUAAACCGGAGGAAGGUGUGGAUGACGUCAAGUCAUCAUGCCCCUUACAUCCUGGGCUACACACGUACUACAAUGCUACGGACAAAGGGCAGCAAACUCGCGAGAGCUAGCAAAUCCCAUAAACCGUGGCUCAGUUCAGAUCGUAGGCUGCAACUCGCCUACGUGAAGGAGGAAUCGCUAGUAACCGCAGGUCAGCAUACUGCGGUGAAUACGUUCCCGGGCCUUGUACACACCGCCCGUCACACCAUGGAAGUUGGCCACGCCCGAAGCCGUUACUCCAACCCUUGUGGAGGAGGACGUCGAAGGUGGGGCUGAUGACUGGGGUGAAGUCGUAACAAGGUAACC
rnacentral:rRNA from 1 species